rnacentral:tRNA from 4 species
GCGGGUAUGGCGGAAUUGGCAGACGCGCUGGAUUUAGGUUCCAGUGGGCAACCGUGUGGGUUCGACCCCCACUACCCGUACCA